UUYRGCURUCACUUACAGAUGGACCCGCGGCGCAUUAGCUAGUUGGUGAGGUAACGGCUCACCAAGGCAACGAUGCGUAGCCGACCUGAGAGGGUGAUCGGCCACACUGGGACUGAGACACGGCCCAGACUCCUACGGGAGGCAGCAGUAGGGAAUCUUCCGCAAUGGACGAAAGUCUGACGGAGCAACGCCGCGUGAACGAUGAAGGCCUUCGGGUCGUAAAGUUCUGUUGUUAGGGAAGAACAAGUACCAGAGUAACUGCUGGUACCUUGACGGUACCUAACCAGAAAGCCACGGCUAACUACGUGCCAGCAGCCGCGGUAAUACGUAGGUGGCAAGCGUUGUCCGGAAUUAUUGGGCGUAAAGCGCGCGCAGGCGGUUUCUUAAGUCUGAUGUGAAAGCCCACGGCUCAACCGUGGAGGGUCAUUGGAAACUGGGGAACUUGAGUGCAGAAGAGGAGAGUGGAAUUCCACGUGUAGCGGUGAAAUGCGUAGAGAUGUGGAGGAACACCAGUGGCGAAGGCGACUCUCUGGUCUGUAACUGACGCUGAGGCGCGAAAGCGUGGGGAGCGAACAGGAUUAGAUACCCUGGUAGUCCACGCCGUAAACGAUGAGUGCUAAGUGUUAGAGGGUUUCCGCCCUUUAGUGCUGCAGCAAACGC
rnacentral:rRNA from 1 species